AUACGGAGGGAGCAAGCGUUAUUCGGAAUCACUGGGCGUAAAGGACGCGUAGGCGGGUUUGUAAGUCAGGUGUGAAAUCCUACAGCUCAACUGUAGAACUGCACUUGAAACUACAGACCUAGAGUAUGGAAGGGGCAGAUGGAAUUAGUGGUGUAGGGGUAAAAUCCGUAGAUAUCACUAGGGAUACCGAAAGCGAAGGCGAUCUGCUGGGACAUUACUGACGCUGAGGCGUGAAAGCGUGGGGAGCGAACAGGAGUAGAUACCCCAGUAGUCC
rnacentral:rRNA from 1 species